CACCCGCACAUACACACACACAAACAGAGAGAGAGAGAGAGGGAGAGAGAGACUCCCUGGCUCCCUCCCUCCCUCGCACACAGCGACUGGAGACGGACCGAGAGCAACGCGCAGGGAGAGGAGACCACCGAGCACACAGCCAGGCGCUCUCACACAUACACGCACACACAUACUCACCCAGUGCCUGCUCUUUCCCCCCCCUUCCUCCUCCUCCUCCUUUUCUCUCUGCAACCAGGGGGGGAAAGCCACUUACAGGUAUUUGUCUAGUGGCUCGGCGUCUUUAUUUUUUCCCACCCACCCCCCUUCACAGUUUGUUUACAAGUAUCAAAGUUGUAAUUGAGGAGCCGCCAAGACACAUCUGGAUAUUUCUUCUUCUUUGUGCUAGGGAGUGAUGUGCAACUAAUUAAAGGCAGACAGGCUGGUAGCGUCUGCAAUUUCCAGCCCCCCAAAUAAAGAGACUGAGAACACCUGUUCCCAGCGCUGAAGCAUUCCGAUGGUUCUUUUAAGCAGUAGUAGAUCUUAUUUUCAAGGCAGUCCGAAGUGAAUGGCAAGCUAAAGUCUUGUUUUAAGAAACUGCUUAGUCCACCAUUGAAGAAUAUACUCAGAUACUAUUUUCAUUUAUGUAUAGGGGUUUCCUCAAAAACAAAAUUUAAACAAUCUGGGAGCCUGGGGAAUUGGCCAGUUUAUUCACAUUCAGUACACUGAAUCUUUAUUUGAUGUAACUUAGCUAUACUAGUGAAGUUGUUGUCUAUUUUUAAAGUGGCUGUAAAAAUAAAAAAGUUUGGGUAAACCCCUGCUAUAAAAUCAUGUAUCUUUGAAAAGUAACAUAUCUAUACUUCAUUUUCAAAUAUAUGUGUUUCAGUACUGUAAACUGUACAGAUAGCAGCUUGUAUUUUGUGUGUUUAGACACAAGGAGACAAUCAUGUCUGAGCAUCUAUGGAGAUUAACGGUUUGUACACAACAGUGUGGUUCUGCAAGUUAAAUCUGGAGCAAUAAAUUCUAGCUUUAAAUAUUAUUUUGCUGGCUGGUUAGCAGCAGCAGCAGCACUGUUUUACCAUGCAUCCUUCCAUAGAGACUUGAUGCCAAGUUUUACAAGAUUAAAAGAUUAUGAUGCAUCUAGCAAUUACCUUCAGUUGUAUUGUUGUAAGAGGGGAAGACAAAAAAUCUAAGAUUAAUCUUUUUGAGCACUAUUUUAGAGUAGUGGUUGUACACUUGCAUUGCUUCCAAAAGAGCUUUACAGAAGGGUAUCCCUCCAAAGUAACACACCAUAGCUGAUUUGCUUUUGACUGUGCUGUAGGGUGAAAUGCACAGUAUAGAUGGACAUGCGGAAUCAGUCAUUUAUAUAUAGCAUGUUCUAGCAUACAAAAUGAAAAAAGAGUACCAUAUCUGAGAAAAAUCUAUGACUCAAUGUAUUUACCGUCCCACUAAGAGUUGCUAUGUAGGUUUUUUCAAUAGACGGAAUAAAAUUUUUAUAAAAUAUAUGAAAAUAUUUUCGCUCCAUGUGCAACAUUUAGAGAUUAGACUAGUUUAUAAAUUUAGACAGGCUUGAAUAUCUCCUGCAGUUGUGCAGGCCAUGAGAGCCUGGGUAUUUUUUAAGUAUAUAAGAAAACCCCACAUUUUUUCAAUGAGUGACUAUUUGUCCCCACACAUCUUUCUUUGUCCACUGAUCUUGGGCUUGCUGAAUAACUGGUCCCUUGGGCCUAUAGUAGAAUGCUUCACCAUUCUUUCUCCUGUACUAGCUAUGUAUACAGAACAUUUACUCCUCAUAAAGGCAGAGAAUAGAGUUAUAUAAUUCAGAUGUAAUACAAGAAUAUGGAGGAUACUGAGUUUAUGUACACUUCAUACAGAUUACCUCAUCACCUAUUUAUAGCUUGGCUUUGUUUUCACUCACAUGAAAAGGCCACCCCAUGAAAGUAAGAGAAUGCUGUUAUGCCACAUAUUAUAUAUGUUUAGUAUUUUAUACAAGAUAGGAUGAUAAAUGCUAGUAGCAUCACAGAAAAGCAUGGAAAUAACAGGCUAAUGAUGCAGAGAGUGUACCAAUAGCAUAGUAUUUCAGCACUUUCUCCAUUAUCUGCUAAUUGUUUCAUACUGUUGGCACAUGGCCACACUCACUUGCUUGACAAAUAUUGGGGGGUUAGGUGAGCAGCAUAGUGUGUCAUCAGCUGUCUGUGGAGAGUCAGAGUUCUGGGAAAGUCUGAGGACUGACGAGCCCUGGCAAUGGUCAAGCAACCUAAGGGCAGCAGAUGGGAGGAGAAGCAUCCUAGAAUUGGCUGUGUAGCAGCAAGGGUCAGUAGAAGGGCUGGGACACAGUAGAAGAGCAUCAGAGGACUGGUGUGUUGAGCUGGAGGAGAUUGCACGUGCAUUCUAAACGUUAGGGCUGACACAUGUCCUGGGUUCCGUGUAGCAUGACAUCUUACAUGUAAUUUCAGAAAAUAAAUGCCAUCUUUAAUGUGCUCCCAACAUGUGCCCCCUCUUAUAUUUUAUAAAAGAUCAUUAAUUAAACAAUCAUAAAAUAAGCUUUACCUUCAUUUACUUGGCAGCUUUGUACCUGAUGUUAUUUCAUUUAAGACUUUCUGGUUAAGGCCUCCGUUAUUUACUGCUGGACCAAUGAGAGCUACAUAAGGCCUUCUUUACCAAAUUGUUAAUUGAUUUAAAAACUGACUGAAGCCUUAUUUGCACAUCUGGCUGGUGAGCUUGCCUUGCUUUUUGGAAAAUUGUGAUUGCUCUGACAGAAGUAGAGACAAAAUUCAGUUCAGGCUACAUUAGGUGUACAAAGAUAUUCAUAGCAAUGUACUUACUGUCUAAUACCCUAAUGUUGCAUGUCUUGAUGUGGUUUCUUUUUUUGUUUUGUUGUUUUGUUUUCAAGAACUGAUGGAUCUGUAUAUUGUAAUUGUGGUGUUUUACGUCAAUUCAAAAUUGUUAAGAAAAGCAAACAAACCUGUUAAUUAUUAAAAAUGAACAAGGAUUGAUUUUCGUUGAUUCCCACAUAUGUCUUUUUUUUUUGGACAUUGUUUCUUUAUAUCAUCAAUUUUCCAUAUUGGUAAAACAAUAUUUAUAUGAUGUAGUGCAUAGAGAGCAUUUUUGUUUUUGAUGUUUGAAGAAGGAAAUUCCUUUUCUGGCCUCUCUCUUUCUCUCUCCUAUACGUGGUACAUACAUAUUUAUAAAUUAGAUUAUUGUCAAGUUCUAAUGACUGAAUUUGUGCUUUUCACAAGAUCCUAAAAUACUUUACAAUAUGAAUUUUUUUAUCCCUUUUUGUGUUCUUCAUUUUCACAGUGCAAAAACCGCAUAAUAUAACUUUGAAGUAUUCUAGGUGUGAGCACUAAGCAUGCCUAAUAGAAAAAAAUCUUUUUAUCAUACCCCAGAUAAACCUAUUAAAUAAUAAGGCUGUAAAGGAGGCACACAUACACAUUAUGUGACUUAAUAAUAGACACUCCCUAGGAGAAAGGAAGUACUUCCUUUUGUCCAGAACCCCUGGUAUGUAAGUAAUACAAUUAAUGUUAAAGAAUAUAAAGUCUCUAAACGGGCUAUAUCUGUAAUCAAAUAAUGAAGAAAGAAAGUAGUUAAAUGAACAUACCAUUUAGGGUCGAAUAUAUUCAGCAAAAAGCUGUAGUGGGUCUUUGAUCAUGGUUAGAUGCAUAGUGAUAUCAAACAGUUGGUUCUCAUGUAGCAGCUAAAUGUUUCAGAUUUUUGUUUUUAUUAAAUUUGGCAGUUUCACACUGAGAUCUACUCUAUUCUUAGUGAAUAAAAGACAGCUCCUAUGUUAGAAAGUAUUCCAUUUUCACAAAUGCAGGGAACUAGGAGAUUUUUCAGAAACAUGGGCCACAAAAAUGUACUCCUUUCACAGUGUUCUCCUAUUUCUGAACUGUGCAGUUAUCUAUUAAAUUUUCUAAAAGAUAUUUGUGUAAGGUGUAUGUAUGCUUGUGCAAUUAUGAAAAAAAGCAGUUUUGGAAAACAGUGUAUUUAUUAAAAAAAAGUCACUUAUGGGGCAUGUACAAAACUGUAUAAAAACAUUCAGUUUGCCCAGUAAAGUUGUUUUUGUGAUAUUUCUGUGUUGUUGAAUAAAGGACUUUAGUAUUCAAAAUA